rnacentral:miRNA from 1 species
GGCCCUCAGAUCUCAUAGC